rnacentral:rRNA from 1 species
CGGAUUGCAGGCUGCAACCCGCCUGCAUGAAGCCGGAAUCGCUAGUAAUCGCGGAUCAGAAUGCCGCGGUGAAUACGUUCCCGGGUCUUGUACACACCGCCCGUCACACCAUGGGAGUCGAUAACGCCCGAAGUCAGUGACCCAACCGAAAGGGGGGAGCUGCCGAAGGCGGGAUGGAUAACUGGGGUGAAGUCGUAACAAGGUAGC